rnacentral:lncRNA from 1 species
AAUACUUAAAAGUUACUGUAUCUUUAAUUUACUUAGAAAGAAAUUGGAACCCAGAGAUUUGAAGACUCCUGGCGCUUUAAAUAACUAUUUUGUGACAACCGGGAUCUAGAACUCUAUAACCUUGACUUCCAGUCCCAUGUUGAGUCCCUAGAGCAUGCUACAGCCCCACAUCUUAAGUCAUCUUCUGGGUAAAUUGAAAGUUGGAGAGGAUAAUGGGACAUUUUAAUUUUUAUGGCUCAGCUUCCAAGACAUUGAAAAAGAAAGAAAAAGAAAAAAAGAUUGAUUUGGUGCCAUGUAUGUGUUUUUGGAAAAAUGAAGAUUCAUAUCUCAAGGAGGCACAUGGGAUGGAUGUGAAUGCGAUGACCUCGCCCUCUACUCAUCAAUAAAGAUUUUUCUGCAUCUUUCUCUCACUGAAAUGUUAUUCCUCUGGUUUGUAUUUCCAUAUGAAUCAACACUGUAAGGCUAUGGGACCAAGACAGACACAGCAGGAGCAAUUCUUUCCUUGUGUGCUUCCAUUUUUAAAGCUG